GAACCAGAUAGAAAUUUUAGAACAAAAAAUAUAAUUAACGUAAAAAAGGCUCAGUGGAUGGGGUCAACAGCAGAAUGAAGGGGACAAAGGAAAGAAAUAGUGAACUGAUUGAUAGAAAAAUAGAAAUUACGCAGUCUAUUCUACAGAGAGAAAAUAGACUGGGGAAAAAAAAUGAGCAGUGCAUCAGGGACCUGUGGAACCAUAACACAAACUCUAGCAUUGUGUUAUCAGAUUCCUAGAAGGAAAGCAGAAAGAAGAUGGCUCUAAAAGUACUCAGUGACCAAAAACUUGCAAAGUGUGGCAGAAGACAUAAACCUAGAUUUAAGAGGCUGAGCUACCUCCAAACAGGAUAAAACCCAGAUAAAUCCACACCACGCCAAACUUCUGACCACGGUCAAAUCUCUGACAGCUAAAGACAAAGGAAAAACGACAAGAGCAGUAAGAAACUUACCAAUUCAAAUGACAGCAGUUUCUCAUCAGAAACAGUGGGGUCAGAAAGAAAUACACAGCAAUUUCAAGAGCUGAAAGAGAAUAAUUUUCAGGAUGGUAGAAUUAGCAAAAAUACCUUUCAAGAAUGAAGAAAAGUGAAAACAUUAUCAGGAUGAAAGAAAGCUAAGAACUUAUUAAUAGCAGAUCUACAAAACAGUGGCUAAUGGAAGUUAUCUAACAGAAAUGAAAUAAAAGAAUCUUUGAAGGGACACCAGUAACCAAAAGUAUGGAUAAUUACGAUAGAUUUUUCUUAAAACAUUUUAAGUCUUACAAAUUAUGUUUGACAAGUGAAGCAGAACAAUAAUGUCUAAUGUGUUCUUGGUGUACAUACAGGAAAUACCAUGGUGAAGAAAGGGAUAUCAGGGGAGGUAAGGGUACUGUACUAUACUACACUUCACCUGAUUUGGUAAAAGAACAACACUGGUAGACUGUGAUUAAGUUUUUUAUAUUUAUAUAUUAAGUCUUAUGUAUAUAAAUGUAAUACCUGGAGUCACUACUAAAAAAUAUACAAAAAGGUACACUAAUAAACAAUAGGUAAAUCAGUAUGAAACUUUUAAAAAGGUUCAAAUUAACCCUCAGAAAGGUGGGAAAAAGAAAACCAAAGCCAGCCACAAAAAACAAAGUGGCAGACAUAAGCCCUCACAUUGCAAUAAUGACAUGAAAUGUACAUGAUCUAAAGACACAGAUCAAAAAAUAAUUGGCAGAGAGGAUUAAAAAACAUGACCCAACUACAUGGGUGUCUAUAAGAAACUCACUUCAAAUACAAUGAUACAGGCAAGUUGAAAAGAAAAUUAUUGGAGAAGAUAUAUCAUACAAACAUUAAUCAGAAGAAAACAAAAGUGGCUCUAUUUAUAUCAAAUAAAGUAGACUUAAGAGCAAAGAAAAUUGCCAGAGACAGAGUGGGAUAUUAUGAGUCUACCAGGAAGACAUAGCAAUCCUAAAUAUGUAUAUAUCAAACAAUAGAGCUGCAAGACACGUGAAGCAAAAACCAAUAGAAAUCUGGAACUAAACUAAACAGUGGAAUUAAACUAGAAAUCAUUAAUAGUCUCCAGUUAUGAUUAUGGAUUUGUCUAUUUCUCCUUUCAGUUCUAUUAGUCUGGUUAUCAAUAAGCGAUAACUGGAAAAAAAAUCUCCAAAGACUUGGAAACUAAACAACACACUUCUCUCUGUCUAGCGGACAUCUUAAAGGAAACUUAAAAAUACACUGAACUAAUUAAACAUGGGCAAAGGAGAUCCUAAGAAGCCGAGAGGCAAAAUGUCAUCAUACACAUUCUUUGUGCAAACUUGCCGAGAGGAUCACAAGAAGAAGCACCCAGAUGCUUCAGUCAACUUCUCAGAGUUUUCUAAGAAGUGCUCAGAAAGGUGGAAGACCAUGUCUGCUAAAGAGAAAGGAAAAUUUGAAGACAUGGCAAAGGCGGACAAGGCCCGUUAUGAAAGAGAAAUGAAAACUUAUAUCCCCCCCUAAAGGGGAAACAAAAAAGAAGUUCAAGGAUCCCAAUGCACCCAAGAGGCCUCCUUCGGCCUUUUUCGUGUUUUGUUCUGAGUAUCGCCCAAAAAUCAAAGGAGAACAUCCCGGCCGAUCCAUUGGUGAUGUUGCAAAGAAACUGGGAGAGAUGUGGAAUAACACUGCUGCAGAUGACAAGCAGCCUUUUGAAAAGAAGGCUGCUAAGCUGAAGGAAAAAUAUGAAAAGGAUAUUGCUGCAUACCGAGCUAAAGGAAAGCCUGGUGCGGCAAAAAAGGGAGUUGUCAAGGCUGAAGAGAGCAAGAAAAAGAGGAAGAUGAGGAAUAUGAAGAAGAAGAUGAUGAUGAAUAAGUUGGUUCUAGCGCAGUUUUUUUUUCCUUUUCUAUAAAGCAUUUAACCCCCCUGUACACAACUCACUCCUUUUAAAGAAAAAAACUGAAAUGUAAGGCUGUGUGAGAUUUGUUUUUAAACUGUACAGUGUCUUUUUUUGUAUAGUUAACACACUACCAAAUGUGUCUUUAAGAUAGCCCUGUCCUGGUGGUGGUAGUUUCAAUAGCCACUAACCUUGCCUGGUACAGUAUGGGGGCUGUAUAUUGGCAUGGAAAUUUAAAGCAGGUUCUUGUUGGUGCACAGCACAAAUUACUUAUAUAUGGGGAUGGUAGUUUUUCAUCUUCAGUUGUCUCUGAUGCAGCUUCUACGAGAUAAUUGUUGUUCUGUUAACUGAAUAUCACUCUGUAAUUGCAAAAAAAAAAAGUUGCAGCUGUUUUGUUGACAUUCUGAAUGCUUCUAAGUAAAUACGGUUUUUUU